rnacentral:rRNA from 1 species
AAGUCGUAACAAGGUCUCCGUUGGUGAACCAGCGGAGGGAUCAUUACCGAGUUAUCAACUCCCAAACCCCUGUGAACAUACCCAACGUUGCUUCGGCGGGACCGCCCCGGCGCCUCGGCGUCCCGGAACCAGGCGCCCGCCGGAGGACCCAAACUCUUGUUUAACCAUAGUGGCAUAUUCUGAGUCUCACAAGAAAAAUGAAUCAAAACUUUCAACAACGGAUCUCUUGGCUCUGGCAUCGAUGAAGAACGCAGCGAAAUGCGAUAAGUAAUGUGAAUUGCAGAAUUCAGUGAAUCAUCGAAUCUUUGAACGCACAUUGCGCCCGCCAGUAUUCUGGCGGGCAUGCCUGUUCGAGCGUCAUUUCAACCCUCAAGCCCCAGCGGCUUGGUGUCGGGGACCGGCCCCGGCCGCCCCCCAAAUGCAGUGNCGACCUCGCCGCAGCCUCCCCUGCGUAGUAGCACAACUCGCACCGGAGCGCGGAGACGGUCACGCCGUAAAACGCCCAACUUCUCAGAGUUGACCUCGGAUCAGGUAGGAUACCCGCUGAACUUAAGCAUAUCAAUAAGCGGAGGAAAAGAAACCAACAGGGAUUGCCCCAGUAACNGCGAGUGAAGCGGCAACAGCUCAAAUUUGAAAUCUGGCCCCCAGGGCCCGAGUUGUNAUUUGCAGAGGAUGCUUUUGGCGCNGCGCCUUCCGAGUUCCCUGGAACGGGACGCCAUAGAGGGUGAGAGCCCCGUCUGGUCGGACNNCAAGCCAGUGUAAAGCUCCUUCGACGAGUCGAGUAGUUUGGGAAUGCUGCUCUAAAUGGGAGGUAUAUGUCUUCUAAAGCUAAAUAUAGGCCAGAGACCGAUAGCGCACAAGUAGAGUGAUCGAAAGAUGAAAAGCACUUUGAAAAGAGGGUUAAACAGUACGUGAAAUUGUUGAAAGGGAAGCACUUGUGACCAGACUUGGGCCCGGUGAAUCAUCCAGCGUUCUCGCUGGUGCACUUCGCCGGGCCCAGGCCAGCAUCAGUUCGCCGCGGGGGAUAAAAGCUUCGGGAACGUAGCUCCCUCGGGAGUGUUAUAGCCCGUUGCAUAAUNCCCUGCGGUGGACUGAGGUUCGCGCUCCGCAAGGAUGCUGGCGUAAUGGUCACCAGUGACC